GGUGUUAUAGCAUAGUUGGUAGUGCAGAGCCCUGUUAAUGCUUCAAGGAGGGGUUCGAAUCCCCUUAACGCCU
rnacentral:tRNA from 1 species